rnacentral:piRNA from 1 species
CUGGUAAACAGAUCACCCUCCUGAAG